UACGUAGGGUGCGAGCGUUGUCCGGAAUUAUUGGGCGUAAAGGGCUCGUAGGCGGUUUGUCGCGUCGGGGGUGAAAUCCACUGGCUUAACUGGUGGCUUGCUUUCGAUACGGGCAGACUGGAGGCAUGCAGGGGAGAACGGAAUUCCAGGUGUAGCGGUGAAAUGCGCAGAUAUCAGGAGGAACACCGGUGGCGAAGGCGGCAUCCUGGACCGGCAUUGACGCUGAGGCGCGAAAGCCAGGGGAGCAAACGGG
rnacentral:rRNA from 1 species